rnacentral:rRNA from 1 species
GACGUAGGUGGCGAACGUUAUCCGGAAUUAUUGGGCGUAAAGGGUGCGCAGAUGGCUUGGUAAGUUAGCGGUGGGAAAUCGAGGCUCAACCUCGUGGAAGCCGGUAAUACUAUUAGGCUUGAGUGCAGGAGAGGUUAACGGAAUUCCAUGUGGAGCGGUAAAAUGUGUAGAUAUAUGGAAGAACAUCAAUAACGGCGAAGGCAGUUAACUAUUCUGCUACUGACAUUGAGGCACGAAAGCGUGGGGAGCAAAACGG